AAUUGUUCUUUAUGCUAAUUUAUAUUUAUUAUUUAUUU
rnacentral:sRNA from 1 species